UUAUGGCGGCCAGCAUCCUGCUCACCCUGUU
rnacentral:piRNA from 1 species